AAAGCGGGUGAAAAGCCCGCUCGCCGGAAGACCAAGGGUUCCUGUCCAACGUUAAUCGGGGCAGGGUGAGUCGACCCCUAAGGCGAGGCCGAAAGGCGUAGUCGAUGGGAAACAGGUUAAUAUUCCUGUACUUGGUGUUACUGCGAAGGGGGGACGGAGAAGGCUAUGUUAGCCGGGCGACGGUUGUCCCGGUUUAAGCAUGUAGGCUGGUUGUCCAGGCAAAUCCGGAUAAUCAAGGCUGAGGUGUGAUGACGAGGCACUACGGUGCUGAAGUAACAAAUGCCCUGCUUCCAGGAAAAGCCUCUAAGCAUCAGGUAACAUCAAAUCGUACCCCAAACCGACACAGGUGGUCAGGUAGAGAAUACCAAGGCGCUUGAGAGAACUCGGGUGAAGGAACU
rnacentral:rRNA from 1 species